GACAGUUGUAAUUUUUCCCAAAUCCCAUGGUGGAAUUCGAAUGUUGUUCCUCUCUUGGCACAAACCAUGUAACAACAACCAUUAUCACCAGCAAGUGGUGCUGCACCAUUUUUCACUAGAUGGACCAAACCUGUUUGUUCAGUCAGAUCGUUGGUCGUGCAUUGAUUCCAAUGGUAUGGUCCAUUUGACGAGUUGGUCUAGACGGUUUUAUGUGCCUAUUGAUGUAGGCAAUGGGGCCUGCCAUGCUUUCCGACACCAUAGGUUGUGCUGGUCAGAUACAAUGUAGAAUCAGUGAGGCCCACCUGAGGAGUCAAGAAGCCUUAUCCGAGCUUUACAUUAGGUGGUUCACAUUGUCUAGAUCGUCUGGUCUAAAAUGCCCAUGCAGUUUGACCCUGCCACAUGGAUGGUGGAAGGGUGGCCCCCAUGAUACGAUCAGGAAUUGGAGUGGAAAGGGACUGGAAUGUUCCAUUCAUUAGGUUGGCUAAACUGUUGAAAAUAAUUUACAUGCUAUGGUUCGAUGCAAUGUAUGAGUGUGGCUGCAUAAUGAAUGGUUAAGAAUCCUCUUAAAAGAGGGGUCCACUAAAUGAAGACAACCCCAACUUAUGCAUCAUGUACACAAGUGAAGAUAAUAGUGGUGUGCUGUAUGCUUGUAUCUUGCAUAAUCAUAUUGUGAACGAAAAUCUAGGCGUUGCCCCUGAGUUGGGAAUAAUAAUUGAAGACAAUGAGGAGGAGGAAGAUGAAGGUGGAUGAAGAUGUCUGUAGUCAUGUAGAAAAUGAAGAUGGCGAUGACAUCUUAGAUGAAGGUUCGAAGAAGGGCGAGGUGAAAGUGGUGUUGAGAGCGAAGCGACAAAAGCCAGGAGGGAAGGACUGAGAUGGACCAAGUUUAGAUUAAGUAUCACAAUAGUAAAGUGGGACAACUGGGAACUUGAACAAUGUGCCGAUAGAUUGCAUUUCAAUAUCUUUUUUCAUUAUGAGUGGAAUAUUGACUAUGUUGUACUAAAUGAUUUUUUUUUUGAAUAUCAAUGCAUUGUUGUUUAGGAAUGUCGUAAUAUUUGAAUCAAAUCUUGUCUUCCUUACAAGUGAUUCUUUCUUAUGCUUUAUCUUGCUCCGAUAUGUUAAGCUUUAGGAAUGUCGCAACAAUCGAGAGCAAGCAGCAAGUGGAAAACAUUUAUCACUUGGACUCCAUUUAUGGACAAAUACACGGCUGACAUCUUGAUUGAGCAAGUAAUUUCAGGGGUCAAAAGCAAUCAUGAUUUGAGGGCUAUUGCAAUGAAUGCGGUAGCAAAGGGAGUGGGAGAGAGGUUCCACGUCUCUGUGGAUGUGAACAAUUGCAGAAAUCGUCUACAAACUUUUUGCAAACAUUUCCAACUGGUGAAGGAAGCAUUGAAUAAAAGUGGAUUCGGUUGGGAUGAGGAACGGAAAUACGUAAUUGUAGAAGAAGUUUGGAAAGAAUUUAUCAAGGCUAUAGCUGCAGCUCUUGCAUGCGACCAAAAACAAUACCAUGUGGCGCUAAUAACUCAUUCUGCCCAUAAGAGUUUAAGAGUACAUCUGGCAGCAAGAAACAUUUCCUGUUUUCUGAUUUCAACACCACCCGUGCUUUCUAACCAUCAAGAUCAGGAUAAUUCAGAUUCUACAAAGCUUUCUUUCUCGCUGCAGAAAAAGGCUACUGAGAGAGAACAUAGAGAAGAAUGCUUAUCUGCAAUGGAAAAGGCCUUUGGAGAUGGCCCGUGCAUGGAGGGUGAUUUUGUAGUGAUCAAUUUCUUUGCAUUGGAAGGGUGGAGUCUUGCAGAACUGUUUAGGGUUCGCUGUGUGGUUGCUGCUCCAUAUGUUGUUCCCUAUAGUGCACCUUCUUCAUUUGAACGCCGAUUCAGACGAGAGCUUCCGCUCUUGUACAAUUGUCUUCAAGAGGCUCCUAUGAACAUGGCUUGCUGGAAAGAUGUGAUCCAUUGGAUGUGGCCACUUUUCACAGAAGAUUGGGGAUCCUGGAGAAGCGAUUAUUUGAAUCUAAGCCCUUGGCCUUUCACGGAUCCAGUAACAGGACUUCCCAUGUGUCAUGAUUGGCCUCAAUCACCACUGCUUCUGUAUGGAUUUAGCAAAGAAAUUGUAGAAUGCCCAGGUUAUUGGCCAUCAAAUGUUCACGUCUGUGGCUUUUGGUUUCUGCCUUUGGAGUGGCAGUUUUCAUGUUAUGAAUGCAGCAGAAUUUCAGGUGUCUAUGCUUCAAGAAGUUUGAAUGCAAAGGGUGAACUGUGCACCUUUCAUGCUGAUCUGCAAUGUUUUCUCGAGACUUCUAAUUCAUGUCCACCAAUAUUCAUAGGGCUAAGUUCUAUUGGAAGCAUGGGUUUUCUGAGGAAUACUCAAGCAUUUCUACUCGUACUCAAAGCUGUCUUGGAGAGCACAAAUUACAGAUUCAUUCUUUUCUCAUCUGGUUAUGAACCUUUAGAUGCUUCCAUCCGAAUCAUAGCUGGGGACUCAUCAGGUUCAAAUCAAAGGGAACAAUUCAACUGUAGCGAAUCUGGAAUUCUCCUCUUCAAAGGCCGUCUUUUCUGCUUUUCUGGUACCAUUCCAUACAGCUGGCUCUUUCCCAGGUGUGCAGUUGCAAUUCAUCAUGGUGGCAGUGGAUCCACUGCUGCAGCAGUACAUGCCGGAACCCCACAGAUAAUAUGCCCCUUUAUGCUGGAUCAGUUCUAUUGGGCAGAGAGAAUGUUCUGGCUCGGAGUUGCACCAGAAGCAAUCCAGAGAAGACAUUUGCUUCCAGAUAAUGAAGAUGAUACAAGCAUUACUGAAGCUGCAAAUGCCUUAGCAAAUGCCAUUUCAGCAGCUUUAUCCCCCAAAAUAAAAGCACGUGCAUCUGAAAUUGCAGAGAGAAUUUCUUCCGAGGAUGGAGUUAGAGAAGCUCUCAAGGUCCUAAAGGAACACAUUAUCUAUCCAAAGAAACCUGAAGGCUGAAUUUCCUCUGCUGAACAUGAAGUACAUUUGGUGCAGACCUCUUGGGCUACAUGUCUGCAAACCUUCUGAUGAAGGUCUUCGUUUGAGAAAUCUACCUGAACUUCAGUUUUUGUAGAUGUUUUCCCAUUAUAGUAUCCUUAUCCAUUAAUAUAUUUUUAUACGUCAACACUGCAGUGAUAGUUCACCACCAUUUUUUAAAUGUUGAUGACUCAUCCACUGUACAUGCAGCAUACAUUGUAUCAAACCAGAAUGUUCAGAUCUUAGUGGCCAUAAUUGAUGGUGAAUGGUACAAAAUUCAUAAUGAUUGGAUGAUCCUACUAUACAAAUAACGGUUAUUAAUAAAAUGAUCAGUGGUCCAAACUCCAAAUUCAACUUGCAAAAUCAGAUGGUCCAACUAUCUGGGUAUGCUCCACCGUCAAUGACAACCAAGAUGCGUACUGUCGGGGUUGCUGUAAAGAUAUUCACAAAAACUGUCGAAGAGUCACCAAAACUUCGAAAAACAUGGUGUGGAACUAUCAUCUGCAGUGUGGUCCACCUUUAGGUACAUGGCAUGCAAAUAUUUAUUUACGUUCAUAAAAUGCCUAUUGGCUUUCUUGAGUUAAAAUCCAUAUAUGCUUGAGGAUUUGGAUUUAAGAGAUGGUGAUGAUCCUCAUGGUUACAAUGCUAAGACACAUUUUUUUUUUCUUCAAAUGCCCAAAAACAUUUGAAAGCUCCAUUUCCAUUGACUCCCCCAGCAGUGCGGUGAAAACCAGCCAUAUCCAAAAUUUGCAAUAUCUUGAACAACCAAAAAAAAUAAAAUAAAAAUCAUGAGUAUGACUGAGGAAAUGCCCUUCACAAUGACUUCUAGUGACAUAUUCUUCAAUCCUGUUUGUGCAGUGAAACAGAAUGAUUGUUUGAAGCUUUAUCAUGCUUGGACAUAUUUAUGAACUUCUGAGCACCGAAGGAGUUGUUUGGUGCAAGGAGCCUGUUGGAACCUAUUGUCCAUGAUAUCUCUGUCCUUCAUGUCAGGGAAAAGAGAGUUCUUCUUUUUCUUCUCCAUGCAUUAUUGAAGGCUUGGUGGUGUUGGGAACACUAACAAUAGUCUUGUUACAAUUUAUUUGAAUAUAUAUUGGGGAAAAGUGAAAGUUCUUCUCCAUGCAUUGUAGAAGUCAAUAGUGCUAUCACGAUUUGUUUGAAUUUAUCUCCUGGAAAAGAGAGUUUGGAAACGUCA